AAAAAAAGAAAUUAAAAACAUUUCCAGUAAAGGUUUUGUCACUGGACUAUUGAGACGUUUAAGAAAUAUGACCUCAUUUCUUUAAUUUAUAAUUUGUGGCCUAAAGCAAAGGCUUUAGGUGCCUUAUGGACGGGCCGGACCUGAUAGUUUGAUACAUAGUAGCCUUAAAGAGAUUUCUCUAUGAUUCAUUGGUUUUGCUAGUGGAGAUAGUAAGUAACUAGUAUUAGUCUCUCUGUUUGUAGUCGUCUAGGAGAAAGACCAGAGAACCAAAGGAGGAAAAUGUCACUCUUGGACCAUCUGUUCGUGAGGGAGAGCAAGUUUUUGGAGUUGUUCAUGUCUUUGCUUCCUUCAAUGACACUUUCAUUCAUGUGACUGAUCUCUCUGGAAGAGAAACUCUCGUUCGUAUCACUGGCUGAUCGUGAUGAGUCUUCUCCUUAUGCUGCUAUGCUUGCAGCUCAAGAUGUUGCUCAAAGAUGCAAGGAGCUUGGCAUCACAGCCAUUCAUGUGAAGCUCCGUGCCACUGGAGGAAACAAGACCAAGACUCCCAGGUCCUGGUGCUCAGUCAGCCCUCCGAGCUCUUGCUCGUUCAGGCAUGAAGAUUGGUCGCAUAGGUAACUCUAUCUAUUGUUGUAAAUUCUAAAUACCUGUUAGAUAAUUUGUGUUUUCAUGAGCAAUUUUAAUAACUUUUCUGCUGAAUUGUAGAGGAUGUGACUCCAAUUCCAACCGAUAGUACCCGUAGAAAGGGUGGUAGAAGGGGACGACGUCUCUGAUUUUCUCACCAUUAUCUACCAUUCUCACAAUUCCGUUUAGUACUUGUACUACAUUCGCAAAAUCUUUCUGUAAGACUUUGAUUUUGAUCUGUGUAACGUUAGGAAGAAAUGGAUACAGAAUGAUGGUAAAUAAAAGUAGUUCUGUUUUUUCUUCUUUGCCUUGCUUUUUAUUUUCUGUUGCAGUAGUCUCUCUUACAAACGCCUUAAAGCACAAGUGAAUAUCAUCUAUUCGAAAGAAGCUCAAUUUACAAUAUCUUAAGGUCUUUUGAAAAUUUGUAGAUCUCAAGAUUUGUGUUAUAUAUUCCUGGUGGAUGGCAGUGUAAAGGGUUUCUCAUUUUUGAAAGCCAUCUAUGUU